rnacentral:rRNA from 1 species
CAGCCGCCGCGGUAAUACGGAGGGAGCUAGCGUUGUUCGGAAUCACUGGGCGUAAAGCGCACGUAGGCGGCUAUUCAAGUCAGGGGUGAAAGCCCGGGGCUCAACUCCGGAACUGCCUUUGAAACUAGAUAGCUUGAAUCUUGGAGAGGCGAGUGGAAUUCCGAGUGUAGAGGUGAAAUUCGUAGAUAUUCGGAAGAACACCAGUGGCGAAGGCGACUCGCUGGACAAGUAUUGACGCUGAGGUGCGAAAGCGUGGGGAGCAAACAGGAUUAGAUACCCGAGUAGUCCCUGUCUCUUAUAA